CGCGUAGGCGGCCAGCGCAAGUCAGUUGUGAAAUCUCCGGGCUUAACUCGGAAAGGUCAACUGAUACUGCGCGGCUAGAGUGCAGAAGGGGCAACUGGAAUUCUCGGUGUAGCGGUGAAAUGCGUAGAUAUCGAGAGGAACACCUGCGGCGAAGGCGGGUUGCUGGGCUGACACUGACGCUGAUGCGCGAAAGCCAGGGGAGCGAACG
rnacentral:rRNA from 1 species